rnacentral:rRNA from 1 species
CCAGCAGCCGCGGUAAUUCCAGCUCCAAUAGCGUAUAUUAAAGUUGUUGCAGUUAAAAAGCUCGUAGUUGGAUUUGUGGUGAUCCCUGGGGUCCGAUUUCGGUACUCUUGGGGAUCGCCAUCCUUGGGUGGAUCCUGUGUGGCAUUAGGUUGUCGUGCGGGGGAUGCCCAUCGUUUACUGUGAAAAAAUUAGAGUGUUCAAAGCAGGCUUAUGCCGUUGAAUAUAUUAGCAUGGAAUAAUAAGAUAGGACCUUGGUACUAUUUUGUUGGUUUGCGCACCGAGGUAAUGAUUAAUAGGGACAGUUGUGGGUAUUCGUAUUCCAUUGUCAGAGGUGAAAUUCUUGGAUUUCUGGAAGACGAACUACUGCGAAAGCAUUUAGCAAGGAUGUUUUCAUUAAUCAAGAACGAAAGU